ACGACUGCUAAGACUGGAUAGGAGACAAGAGGGCAUCUUCUUGUUUUUAAAAGACCUAGCAAUAGGUAUGCUUAGGGAGGAGCUUGCGUCACAUUAGUUAGUUGGUGGGGUAAAGGCCUAACAAGACUAUGAUGUGUAGCCGGGCUGAGAGGUUGAACGGCCACAUUGGGACUGAGACACGGCCCAAACUCCUACGGGAGGCAGCAGUAGGGAAUUUUCGGCAAUGGAGGAAACUCUGACCGAGCAACGCCGCGUGAACGAUGAAGUAUUUCGGUACGUAAAGUUCUUUUAUUAGGGAAGAAUAAAUGAUGGAAAAAUCAUUCUGACGGUACCUAAUGAAUAAGCCCCGGCUAACUAUGUGCCAGCAGCCGCGGUAAUACAUAGGGGGCAAGCGUUAUCCGGAAUUAUUGGGCGUAAAGGGUGCGUAGGCGGUUAAAUAAGUUUAUGGUCUAAGUGCAAUGCUCAACAUUGUGAUGCUAUAAAAACUGUUUAGCUAGAGUAAGAUAGAGGCAAGUGGAAUUCCAUGUGUAGUGGUAAAAUGCGUAAAUAUAUGGAGGAACACCAGUAGCGAAGGCGGCUUGCUGGGUCUUUACUGACGCUGAGGCACGAAAGCGUGGGGAGCAAACAGGAUUAGAUACCCUGGUAGUCCACGCCGUAAACGAUGAGUACUAAACGUUGGGUAAAACCAGUGUUGAAGUUAACACAUUAAGUACUCCGCCUGAGUAGUACGUACGCAAGUAUGAAACUUAAAGGAAUUGACGGGACUCCGCACAAGCGGUGGAUCAUGUUGUUUAAUUCGAAGGUACCCGAAAAACCUCACCAGGUCUUGACAUGCUUCUGCAAAGCUGUAGAAACACAGUGGAGGUUAUCAGUUGCACAGGUGGUGCAUGGUUGUCGUCAGCUCGUGUCGUGAGAUGUUGGGUUAAGUCCCGCAACGAGCGCAACCCUUAUUGUUAGUUACCAGCACGUAAUGGUGGGGACUUUAGCAAGACUGCCAGUGAUAAAUUGGAGGAAGGUGGGGACGACGUCAAAUCAUCAUGCCCCUUAUGACCUGGGCUACAAACGUGAUACAAUGGCUGUUACAAAGGGUAGCUGAAGCGCAAGUUUUUGGCGAAUCUCAAAAAAACAGUCUCAGUUCGGAUUGAAGUCUGCAACUCGACUUCAUGAAGUUGGAAUCGCUAGUAAUCGCGAAUCAGCAUGUCGCGGUGAAUACGUUCUCGGGGUUUGUACACACCGCCCGUCA
rnacentral:rRNA from 2 species